rnacentral:rRNA from 2 species
AACGAUGAUGUUGGUGUCGCACAUUAGACUUGUGUUUAAAUAGAGCUUUGCUCGUGAACCAAAUAUGGUGGGCUGGGUUGUCUUUGCGGAAACGCUUAGGCGACUUGUCUACGAAUUGUAAUCAUAAUAUGGGCGGCGGUGAAUCCUUUGCAGACGACUUGAAUGGGAACGGGGUACUGUAAGUGGUAGAGUAGCCUUGUUGCUACGAUCCACUGAGGUUAAGCCCUUGUUCUAAAGAUUUGUUC